AUUGAACGCUGGCGGCAUGCCUUACACAUGCAAGUCGAACGGUAACAGGUCUUCGGAUGCUGACGAGUGGCGAACGGGUGAGUAAUACAUCGGAACGUGCCCAGACGUGGGGGAUAACGAGGCGAAAGCUUUGCUAAUACCGCAUACGAUCUAAGGAUGAAAGCAGGGGACCGCAAGGCCUUGUGCGUUUGGAGCGGCCGAUGGCAGAUUAGGUAGUUGGUGGGAUAAAAGCUUACCAAGCCGACGAUCUGUAGCUGGUCUGAGAGGACGACCAGCCACACUGGGACUGGGACACGGCCCAGACUCCUACGGGAGGCAGCAGUGGGGAAUUUUGGACAAUGGGCGAAAGCCUGAUCCAGCAAUGCCGCGUGCAGGAUGAAGGCCUUCGGGUUGUAAACUGCUUUUGUACGGAACGAAAAGGCUCUGGCUAAUACCUGGGGCACAUGACGGUACCGUAAGAAUAAGCACCGGCUAACUACGUG
rnacentral:rRNA from 1 species